rnacentral:pre_miRNA from 8 species
GGGUGAAGCUGACAGACUCCUGUUCUGUGUAUGGCACUGGUAGAAUUCACUGUGAAAGCACACUAUCAGUGAAUUACCAAAGGGCCAUAAACAGAGCAGAGAAAGAACCACGUGUUUGAU